UACAGAGGUCCCGAGCGUUGUUCGGAAUUACUGGGCGUAAAGCGUGCGCAGGCGGUUCGUUGUGUCGGCGGUGAAAGCCCCGGGCUCAACCUGGGAAUGGCCGUUGAAACUGGCGAACUGGAGUGUGGCAGAGGGGGGUGGAAUUCCGCGUGUAGCAGUGAAAUGCGUAGAGAUGCGGAGGAACACCGAUGGCGAAGGCAGCCCCCUGGGCUAACACUGACGCUCAGGCACGAAAGCGUGGGGAGCAAACAGG
rnacentral:rRNA from 1 species